CCUACGGGUGGCUGCAGUGGGGAAUAUUGCACAAUGGGGGGAACCCUGAUGCAGCGACGCCGCGUGGGUGAAGGAGUACUUCGGUACGUAAAGCCCUAUCAGCAGGAAAGAAAAUGACGGUACCUGACUAAGAAGCCCCGGCGAACUACGUACCAGCAGCCGCGGUAAUACGUAGGGGGCAAGCGUUAUCCGGAUUUACUGGGUGUAAAGGGAGCGUAGACGGCAGUGCCAGUCCGGAGUGAAAGCCCGGGGCUCAACCCUGGGACUGCUCUGGAAACUGCAAAGCUGGAGUGCGGGAGGGGCAGGCGGAAUUCCUGGUGUAGCGGUGAAAUGCGUAGAUAUCAGGAGGAACACCGGCGGCGAAGGCAGCUUACUAAGCCAUAACUGACACUGAAGCACGAAAGCGUGGGGAUCAAACAGGAUUAGAUACCCCAGUAGUC
rnacentral:rRNA from 1 species